rnacentral:rRNA from 1 species
CAAUAGCGUAUAUUAAAGUUGUUGCAGUUAAGAAGCUCGUAGUUGGAUUUCUGGUGGGAGCGAUCGGUCUGGCGCUUAGCGCGAGUACUUGCAUCGUCUCCGGCCAUCCUUGGGGAGAGUCUGUCUGGCAUUAGGUUGUCGGGCAGAGGAUCCUCAUCGUUUACUGUGAAAAAAUUAGAGUGUUCAAAGCAGGCUUAUGCCGUUGAAUAUAUUAGCAUGAAUAAUAAGAUAGGACUUUGGUACUAUUUUGUUGGUUUGCGCACCAAAGUAAUGAUUAAUAGGGACAGUUGGGGGUAUUCGUAUUCCGUUGUCAGAGGUGAAAUUCUUGGAUUUACGGAAGACGAACUACUGCGAAAGCAUUUACCAAGGAUGUUUUCAUUAA